rnacentral:sRNA from 1 species
GAUCUUGCAUGAUCUUGCAAGAUCUUUCCAAGUUCUUGCAGGAUCUUACCUAAGAUCUUGCAGGAUCUUGCAAGAUCUUUCCAUGUUUUUGCAGGAUCUUACCUAAGAUCUUGCAAGAUCUUGCCAUUAUCAUGGCAAGAUCUUGCAAGAUCUUGCCAUUAUCAUGGCAAGAUCUUGCAGGAUUUGUACCAAAAUAAUGGCAAGAUCUUACAUAAAUACUGCAAGAUUAUGGAAAGAUCUUGCAAGAUCUUUCCAAGUUCUUGCAGGAUCUUACCUAAGAUCUU